UGUAAACAACUGGCAGCAACGUGUGC
rnacentral:piRNA from 1 species